CUGCUCAAUGAUUUUUUAAAUUGCUGUGGUAUUUUGACUAUACAAAGGUAUUGAAAUAAGACUUUAAUUGAGUGCUAAGAGAAUGGAUUAACGGAGAAAUUCUUUUUUAAUUUCAAAAAUUAAAGUUAUUUUUGUAAGUGAAGAAACUACAAUAAAAAUUAAGGACAAGAAGACCCUAAGAAUUUUCAAUAAUUUUUGAGCAAUUGUAUUUUUAAAAAUUAUUUUAAUUGGGGCGAUUAAUGAAAAUAAAAAACUUUAUUUAUUGAAAAAAUGAACCAUUAAUAAUGGUUAUAUGAAAAAAAUACUCUAGGGAUAACAGCGUAAUAAUUUUAGAUAGUUCUUAUAGACAAAAUAGUUUGCGACCUCGAUGUUGGAUUAGGAUUCUAAUUUAAUGAAGAAGUUAAAUUAAGAAGUUUGUUCAACUUUUAAAAUCCUACUUGAUCUGAGUUCAGACCGG
rnacentral:rRNA from 1 species